GAGACCGGCGCACGGGUGCGUAACGCGUAUGCAAUCUACCUUUUACAGAGGGAUAGCCCAGAGAAAUUUGGAUUAAUACCUCAUAGUAUUAUAGAAUGGCAUGAUUUUAUAAUUAAAGUCACAACGGUAAAAGAUGAGCAUGCGUCCCAUUAGCUAGUUGGUAAGGUAACGGCUUACCAAGGCUACGAUGGGUAGGGGUCCUGAGAGGGAGAUCCCCCACACUGGUACUGAGACACGGACCAGACUCCUACGGGAGGCAGCAGUGAGGAAUAUUGGACAAUGGGCGCAAGCCUGAUCCAGCCAUGCCGCGUGCAGGAUGACGGUCCUAUGGAUUGUAAACUGCUUUUAUACGAGAAGAAACACUGCUUCGUGAAGGAGCUUGACGGUAUCGUAAGAAUAAGGAUCGGCUAACUCCGUGCCAGCAGCCGCGGUAAUACGGAGGAUCCAAGCGUUAUCCGGAAUCAUUGGGUUUAAAGGGUCCGUAGGCGGUUUAAUAAGUCAGUGGUGAAAGCCCAUCGCUCAACGGUGGAACGGCCAUUGAUACUGUUAAACUUGAAUUAUUAGGAAGUAACUAGAAUAUGUAGUGUAGCGGUGAAAUGCUUAGAGAUUACAUGGAAUACCAAUUGCGAAGGCAGGUUACUACUAAUUGAUUGACGCUGAUGGACGAAAGCGUGGGUAGCGAACAGGAUUAGAUACCCUGGUAGUCCACGCCGUAAACGAUGGAUACUAGCUGUUGG
rnacentral:rRNA from 1 species